AUUGAACGCUAGCGGGAUGCUUUACACAUGCAAGUCGAGCGAGUGGCGGACGGGUGAGUAAUAUAUCGGAACGUGCCCAAUGGCGGGGGAUAACUACUCGAAAGGGUAGCUAAUACCGCAUACUAUUGGAGCAGCCCAUAUCGGAUUAGCUAGUUGGUGGGGUAAGGGCUCACCAAGGCAACGAUCCGUAGCUGGUUUGAGAGGACGACCAGCCCCACUGGAACUGGGACACGGCCCAGACUCCUACGGGAGGCAGCAGUGGGGAAUUUUGGACAAUGGGGGAAACCCUGAUGCAGCCAUGCCGCGUGUAUGAGAAGGCCUUAGGGUUGUAAAGUACUUUCAGUCGGGAGGCGUUACCGACAGAAGAAGCACCGGCUAACUCCGUGCCAGCAGCCGCGGUAAUUC
rnacentral:rRNA from 1 species